ACUGAACGCUGGCGGCAUGCCUUACACAUGCAAGUCGAACGGUAACAGGUUAAGCUGACGAGUGGCGAACGGGUGAGUAAUAUAUCGGAACGUGCCCAGUCGUGGGGGAUAACGUAGCGAAAGCUACGCUAAUACCGCAUACGAUCUACGGAUGAAAGCGGGGGAUCGCAAGACCUCGCGCGAUUGGAGCGGCCGAUAUCAGAUUAGGUUGUUGGUGAGGUAAAAGCUCACCAAGCCUGCGAUCUGUAGCUGGUCUGAGAGGACGACCAGCCACACUGGAACUGAGACACGGUCCAGACUCCUACGGGAGGCAGCAGUGGGGAAUUUUGGACAAUGGACGCAAGUCUGAUCCAGCAAUGCCGCGUGCAGGACGAAGGCCUUCGGGUUGUAAACUGCUUUUGUACGGAACGAAACGGUGAGCUCUAAUACAGUUUGCUAGUGACGGUACCGUAAGAAUAAGCACCGGCUAACUACGUGCCAGCCGCCGCGGUAA
rnacentral:rRNA from 1 species